rnacentral:piRNA from 1 species
UGAAUUUUUAUUCUGGAUCGCGU